UCCGAAUUGGUGUAGUUGGUUAACAUCACGGACUCUCUAUCUGUGGCCCAGGGUUCGAAUCCCUGAUUCGGAG